rnacentral:rRNA from 1 species
UACACUCCUACGGGAGGCAGCAGUGGGGAAUUUCGGACAAUGGGCGAAAGCCUGAUCCAGCAAUGCCGCGUGAGUGAAGAAGGCCUUCGGGUUGUAAAGCUCUUUUGUCAGGGAAGAAACGGUGAAAGCUAAUAUCUUUUGCUAAUGACGGUACCUGAAGAAUAAGCACCGGCUAACUACGUGCCAGCAGCCGCGGUAAUACGUAGGGUGCAAGCGUUAAUCGGAAUUACUGGGCGUAAAGCGUGCGCAGGCGGUUUUGUAAGUCUGAUGUGAAAUCCCCGGGCUCAACCUGGGAAUUGCAUUGGAGACUGCAAGGCUAGAAUCUGGCAGAGGGGGGUAGAAUUCCACGUGUAGCAGUGAAAUGCGUAGAUAUGUGGAGGAACACCGAUGGCGAAGGCAGCCCCCUGGGUCAAGAUUGACGCUCAUGCACGAAAGCGUGGGGAGCAAACAGGAUUAGAUACCCGGGUAGUCCC